ACACUAUAGCUUACCUGCACAUAUUCAUAUCGCAGUUGUUUUACACGCUCACUGUUUCUUUCAAAAGGGACUCUGUGAAUUUGUCUCAUUCGGAUUCUGUUGCAUGCAAGCAGAUGAGACAAUACUGAGAGGCUUUAUGUCACCAUAUUGAAUGUAUUGGUCUCUUGCUCUAGAGGAAAUCGCCUUCCUCUGCCACCAGAUGCUAAACAUCUUGCAAUUCUGAAGAAAAAAAAAAGUGUUUACAGUAUUGUGUUUCUCAGAGUAUUGUGACAUUACAAAACCUGGUGGGAAGUUACUUUACUGAACGAUUCUCAUUUUGAAAUGUCCAUGUUUGCUACAGUGUAGCGGCUCGGGUUAGGCUGAAGCCGUUGCCCAGCUUCUCUCAGGCUCGUCCCAUGGUUUAUUACAUGGUCCACCACCGUGGCUCUGAUGUCAUCAGUAAUUCUAUGUCUGACUCGCCGAACGCUUCCUCCUUCCCUCCCUCCCUCGUCCUACUUCACCCCUUCUUGCUUCUUUACCACCACCACCACCACCUCCUCCUCCUCCUCCUCCUCCUCGUCGUUGUCCUCCAAUUCCCACUCUUCUCACUCUCUGUCCAGUGCUGUCCUCCAUUGUCGUCCGAUCCAAAUGCUCAGCUGUGGCUUAUUUAUAGCGCUCAGGCUGAUUGAGAAGUGAACUCACUAUCUAAGAUUGUUUUCACAUGUGUCAGAAUGGCCAGACAAUUGGGAAAACAGUGUUAAUAAUAGACAUAAAUGUGUAGAGUUUUGCUAGGAGUAUGCUGAUCAUUUGGAAAUUGAGUGUAAAGCGGUGGUUUGUGUUUACAGUUUUGCAAAGAGUGUGUUACAAAAUUGCAAACUGACUGCAAUGCAGUGUUUGUACUUCACGUUUUGUGAACUUAGUGAAUAGUUUUGCUACAAGUUUAAUGGUUUCAGAAAUUGUGCUAUAAGAAUGACUGUUAGUGUUUAAGCAUUCAGAAAAAAACUGUAAAUAAUGUUGCGGUGGGGACGGUAAUUGAGGGAACGCGGUGUCUCACAUCCUGCGUCCGGCGGGAAACACUCCGUCAGCUCAGCGCUGCUGUACGGCGAAUGCGCGGAGUUCUGCUCUAAAAUUACACUGUAUUUUUUGGCAAAACUAAGAAGUGCUACGAUUGUUUUUUUUUUUUUAUUUUUAUCACUGUUUUUCUGUAUUUAUUUACGAAUUAAGGAGUGUAGUUCGUUAUUAAUGAUCCUUUCCCCGUGUUUUAAUAGAAGUGAGAGAGACCAUGUCCGUUUGCUAAUUAGCUUGUCGGUUUCAGGCUUGGCAGUUCACUGGUUUAUUAAGAAACAUUUUAUUACUGCUUGUUGUAUUUUGGUAAUUUAAUCUAAUUUGUGUUCCUAAUGUGUUUUUUUUUACUUUAGCAGUUAUGUCUCCUGUUAAACGGUUAUUGUAUGAGCUGACUUAAUCUAAUUAGUUAUGUUCUUUUGUAAGUAGAAAAGUGAUUUUAAUUUAAUUCACCGUAGUGCUGUUUAAUUAUGUUACUCAGUUAUGCUUUGGGCACCGCUUAAGCAGAACAUUAAUAGGAUAGAACAGAAAGCCUUUAAGGUCAUUUUACAGGUAGCAAAUACAAUAUAUAGACAUACAUAUGUAUCAUGUACAUUAGAUUUUAGUCAGAGAGAAAAUGUUUUUAACACGUUUGCUCAGCUCACAGUACCCCGUCAUUUAUUUUUGUCAAACAUACAUUUCAGAGUAAAGAGGAUUAGACAGGUUAAAAAGCAGAGAUUUACCAUGGCGAACCAGCAAUGUCACACUGUAAUACAGUAAAAACAAUUCCUCCAGCAGGCAUUGGGCUAUCCCAGCAUGCACAGCGACACUGAGGUGUCUGGAUAAACCCCAAAUGCUGGACACAGGGGCUCAGUGAAUGAGGAGGUGACCCUGUGCAGGAGGGUCAGUCCAUCAGAGGAGACUUUGUAGAAGGACAGAGCACCAGCCCCCCAGUCCAGAUACACUCCUACUCUGCGGGAGCCUGAGGGCUCUAUGGGUAUGAAAGUCUGUUUAUUAUUGUGCCGGACAGAGUAACUGUCAGGAUCACACCACAGACUCCAUGACUUGUCAUUGUAUCCAAGCAGACAAUCACUCCAUCCUUUCCUCUCGAUCCCUUUAUAAGUCACUCCUAUCCGGGCAUCAUCCCCAUCCCACUCAGCCUCCCAGUAACAGCGGCCAGUCAGACUCUCUCUGCACAGAACUUGGUGCCACCGGCCAAAUCUCUCUGGAUGAUCAGGAUAUGGCUGCUUUGCCCCCCAUGUCGCCUUCCUGUUCCCCUCUGACAGAGACAGGUGUCUGUUUGCUGUGUUGGGGUCCAGCGUCAGCUGGCAGGAGUCUGUAGGCAGGAGAAAGAGCCGCUAAGACCAUCAGGCAGAGCAGCAUUUCAGCCUGUGCUUUAUUUUCAGUACGAUACAAGAACAGCGCAGCUUCCCAAUCCGAACCGGGAAUUCAGAUACAGGCAGCCCCAGAGUUAAGAACGCCCGACUUACGGACACCUCGUACUUACAGACGUACUGCCAGGAAAACUGUUAUAUUAAAAAUAAUGAAUGCAUGCGCUUGUCAGUUGGAGGUACAGUACAGUAACAAAUUGACUUCUAUUUUUACUGUAAAGUAUUGUGUACCCUGUUUAUGAUUCCGACUUGUCUACAAACUCGACUUAAAGACAGACUUUGGGAACGGAUUCCGUCUGUAACCUGGAGCUGUCUGUGUGUGAAAUACCUGAGGGAAUGUCGGCCACCAAAUGCCACAAGUGCUAAACUAACGACUUCAUUACGGGUAAAUAAAAAUACAGAGUGACGGCAUUCAUCAGACAGACUCACCACAAACAUAUUUACCACAAAAAUUUGACACCAAAGAUUAAUACCAAAAUGAGUGUCUUUACGUUAAAAUAUAAACUUCCUUCUAAACAAUUCAGACCCGAACCUCCUCACAGCAGCGUUAACCACAGACCGAGGAGAGAGUCCGAUAUCACCGCCGGUUUGGGGAGACUAUGGGAGCCGUCUUAUGACAGUACUAAUGGAUCUCAAAAAGAAAUUGUGUACAUUUGUUUGUGCAGAAGUUCCCAGACUACAAUUUUUAUUUCAGAAACCAGUCAUCUAUAAACCCAACCCCAACAGUUUUUUUAUGAUAAUUGAAUUAAUGGUUUAAUUUAAUGUUUUUGGUGAUGUCUGGAUGUUUUUUUCCUUUGGAUGUCAAAAUGACACACAGAAACUCACCAAAACACAAACAGGCAAAUUCAUACAAUACAUACAAUGCAAAAAACAUACUCAUCACAACAACUGUGUGACUACAUUCAUAAAGUAGUAUUAAUGGUAUUAUUAAUAAAAACCUGCAAACACACUUACAUUUCUGUAAGCCUGGUCUGGUCCUGCACUCUCCACCGUGGUCCACACUACAGGAGAAGCAGAAUGACAUAGACUGCUGUAUCUAUUUAUUUAUUGGUGCCUCUUCUUCACAUACAUGCAUAAGUAUCUGUAGCGUGUCAGACACACACUCUGUACUCACUUCAGCUUCUCCAGUUUACAGCUGGGAUCCUCCAGUACAGCAGAGAGCAGCCUCACUCCUGAGUCUCCUGGGUGGUUGUAGCUCAGGUCCAGCUCUCUCAGGUGUAAGGGGUUUGACCUCAGAGCUGAAGCCAGGGAAGAACAGCCUUCUUCUGUGACUCUACAGCCUGACAACCUGCAGAGAGACAGACAAAAACUCUCAGUGGGGAAUACCCAGCAAUUGUCACGGAUGAACCCCGGGGAUCCCCAACUGACAUCAGGAAGACAACACCUCCGGGGAUUCCUUGACCCACCUUUCUUCAUUUAUGGUGCGCUCGAUUAUUUCUCUCCAACUUGGAACUUGGAUGAAAACGUCACGAAAAAUGUCACUUCCUGUCAGCACCCUGACCACGAUAUUUGUCAAGCCCCAAGAUCGACUCCGCACAUCACCCGACCUCAGCCUGCCCCACGAUAACGAUCCUGCCAGCAUCUUGGGUUUUGGUGUUCUAUGCUCUCCGUUAUUAGGACCUGGACAACGAACUGCCUUUUCGUAAUUAAAGGAGUUUCUUCGCAUCUGA